rnacentral:misc_RNA from 1 species
GAUGAAGAACGUAGCGAAAUGCGAUACGUAAUGUGAGUUGCAAAUUCAGUGAAUCAUCGAGUCUUUGAACGCACAUUGCGCCCUUUGGCAUUCCGAAGGGCAUGCCUGUUCGAGCGUCAUUUAUCAACCCUCAAGCCCGGCUUGCGGUUGGGUCCCGCCGUGGGCGACCACGGCGGACCCGAAAGGUAAUGGCGGUGCCCGUGGGGCCCUGGACGCAGCGAGCUUCUCGGCACGCGUCCCGGCGGUCCCCGGCGCCGUCUCCACCAAUCCACCACGCAGAUUGACCUCGGAUCAGGUAGGGAUACCCGCUGAACUUAAGCAUAUCAAUAAGCGGAGGA